AUGAAGAACGCAGCGAAAUGCGAUAAGUAAUGUGAAUUGCAGAAUUCAGUGAAUCAUCGAAUCUUUGAACGCACAUUGCGCCCGCCAGCAUUCUGGCGGGCAUGCCUGUUCGAGCGUCAUUUCAGCCAUCAAGCCCCGGGCUUGUGUUGGGGACCUGCGGCCGCCCGCAGGCCCUGAA
rnacentral:rRNA from 1 species